rnacentral:rRNA from 1 species
AACGAACGCUGGCGGCAUGCCUAACACAUGCAAGUCGAACGAGACCUUCGGGUCUAGUGGCGCACGGGUGCGUAACGCGUGGGAACCUGCCCUUAGGUUCGGAAUAACUCCCCGAAAGGGGUGCUAAUACCGGAUAAUGUCUUCGGACCAAAGAUUUAUCGCCUUUGGAUGGGCCCGCGUUGGAUUAGCUAGUUGGUAGGGUAAAAGCCUACCAAGGCGACGAUCCAUAGCUGGUCUGAGAGGAUGAUCAGCCACACUGGGACUGAGACACGGCCCAGACUCCUACGGGAGGCAGCAGUCGGGAAUAUUGGACAAUGGGCGAAAGCCUGAUCCAGCCAUGCCGCGUGAGUGAUGAAGGCCUUAGGGUUGUAAAGCUCUUUUACCCGGGAUGAUAAUGACAGUACCGGGAGAAUAAGCUCCGGCUAACUCCGUG